GUCUGCCUCCAUGGAGCUGCCAUUAGCUAAUGGCUCUCCAUUGCAGCUGCUGCAGUUUUACAAAGAGAAAAACUUUCCCUGGGAGCCCAGCAGGGACCCCGCAGUCAGGGGAGAUGAAGGGCAUUUCCCCAGGGCUUCCCAGUGCAAUCAAUGCCUGCUAAUCUUUAGAAAAUUACACUAACAAGCUCCAGGCAGCAACUGCAGGAGCCCUGCACAGCAGCCCCUGAAAUCACGCACAGCCCAUUAAUGGAUCAGGGCUUUAAUGAACUGGAAAAUCUCUCCUCAGCAGAGGCCAGAGGAUGCUUGAAGGCUCCCACCUCUCCUGAGCUGCUCUGAAGGCAGGCAGGAAACUCUGACAGCAAAAAUGCUGCUUUUGGGGCUGGCCAGGCUGGGGAGCAGCCCCAGGACCUCACAGGGGUGUGGGCUCUGAGGUCCAAGUGAUGAUCAGCAGCUCCUGAAAAGUGCUGAGCUCAGAAACCCCCAAAUGGCAGCUCAAGGAAAGCUGCUGGUGCUGUGCUCUAGGGGUGUUCAGUGGAUUUUCAGGAAAUACCCCUUUUUCUUCUCUUUCAAACCAUCAGGCAGAUCCAGGAGGUGCAGCUGGCCAAAAUAAAGUUGCUGGAGAGGCAGAUUACUUCAGAAUGAAUGAAAUCUUGCUACAACCUGCAUUAAAAACAAAAAAAAGGCUUUUUUUUUUUUCCUCCUAUCAGUCAUAAAAUCUAGUUAUUUCCUGAGCAAUGUUGCAAUUUGCCUGAUGCUUAUGAGAUAUAUUGCCUGCUUUCUACUCUGUUUCCUACUGGGCAGUCUGCAAGGUUGCCUAAUCUCUAAAAGAAAUAAGCAUCUGUUUCCUUCAUGGUCCAUGCCUGAUUUAAGAUAUUUUAACUUGUAAUCCAAGAGGAAUGAACAUUGGAUCACUCUUUAAAAGAAGGAGUCUCCAAAUUUUUGUCCUGUCUCUGGGCAAGUUUGGUGCAUUUCCACUGCUCCAUAUCUCUGAUGUGUCUCUGCAGAAUCUGCACCCAAGGAACUUCUCCCUUCAAAGCUCUCCCAGCUGGCAUAUCCUGCUCCCCCUGAUACAUCAGCAGCCUGAGCAUCCCAGGAGCCAUGAAAAUAAAAGUAAGAAAGCUGAUUUUUCUCCAGGAGAGAGGAGAAAGAGUGGCUAAAAUGCAGAAGGAAAAAGCAAAUUGUUGGGAAAAGGACAGAGAGCAGGAGGGAAAGUCUUGGAGUUGAUCACAUCACCCUGUGGGGGCAGGGGAGAUAUUUUCUCUCACUAUAUUUUCUCUUCCAUAUUUUGAAGCAGCUCCCUGGAAGUGCUGGCACUGACAGGAAUGGCCCAUCAGAUUUGUGCAGAGAUAAGAGAGUGACUCCCAGGUCACCUCACCAAGAAAACCACGUGAACCUGCAUCUUUAUAUCUGCUUUUAGUUUUUCAGUAAUUAAAAAAUUUUUUAAAAAUUUUUAAAAAAUUAUAAAGCCAACCCAAACCAUCUUUAUGCUUGUUCUUUGGAGUCAAGUAUUGGACUUUGAAUUCCUAGGGGUCAGCUCCUCCAAAACAAAAGGCAUUUGGUGUCUCCACUGCCCUGAGAUGGAGUUUCAGUUCCAUUUCCAUCCUCAGAGGUUGGGCUUUGCUUCGUCUCUAUCAGCAGACACUUGAAAGGCUCAAACAAAGCAACUUUCCCAUUCAGAAAAAUACAACCAGACAUGAUCCUUAAGGAUUUCUGUUUUCCAGAGCUCCUUGACCCCCUGGCCUCACUUCUCAGGUUUUAAUGAAAAAUCUUUUGACAAGUAUUUUUCAUAUUUCUGAUUCUGACGUGGGGAAAGGAUAACCAUUACCUUAAAUUUGGCUCCAAAUGAAAGACCUUGCAGAAUCAGCAUUUUUCAAAUGCAGCCUUUGAACAACUGGAAUGUUUCCUUCCAUAAAAUCCUCAAUGAA